UACGGAGGGUGCGAGCGUUAAUCGGAAUUACUGGGCGUAAAGCGCGCGUAGGCGGCUUGUUAAGCUAGAUGUGAAAGCCCAGGGCUCAACCUUGGAACUGCAUUUAGAACUGGCAAGCUAGAGUACAGCAGAGGAGUGUGGAAUUCCCGGUGUAGCGGUGAAAUGCGUAGAAAUCGGAAGGAACACCAGUGGCGAAGGCGACACUCUGGGCUGAUACUGACGCUGAGGUACGAAAGCGUGGGGAGCAAACAGG
rnacentral:misc_RNA from 1 species